CCUCGGGUGGCUGCAGUGGGGAAUAUUGGACAAUGGGCGAAAGCCUGAUCCAGCCAUGCCGCGUGUGUGAAGAAGGCCUUCGGGUUGUAAAGCACUUUCAGUGGGGAAGAAAGCCUUGGGGCUAAUACCCUCGAGGAAGGACAUCACCCACAGAAGAAGCACCGGCUAACUCCGUGCCAGCAGCCGCGGUAAUACGGAGGGUGCGAGCGUUAAUCGGAAUUACUGGGCGUAAAGCGCGCGUAGGCGGUCUGAUAAGCCGGUUGUGAAAGCCCCGGGCUCAACCUGGGAACGGCAUCCGGAACUGUCAGGCUAGAGUGCAGGAGAGGAAGGUAGAAUUCCCGGUGUAGCGGUGAAAUGCGUAGAGAUCGGGAGGAAUACCGGUGGCGAAGGCGGCCUUCUGGACUGACACUGACGCUGAGGUGCGAAAGCGUGGGUAGCAAACAGGAUUAGAUACCCGAGUAGUC
rnacentral:rRNA from 1 species